CCUACGGGUGGCAGCAGUGAGGAAUAUUGGUCAAUGGGCGGGAGCCUGAACCAGCCAAGUCGCGUGAGGGAAGACGGUCCUAUGGAUUGUAAACCUCUUUAGGCGGGGAGCAAUGCCGGGCACGUGUGCCUUUUUGUAUGUACUUUAUGAAUAAGGAUCGGCUAACUCCGUGCCAGCAGCCGCGGUAAUACGGAGGAUCCGAGCGUUAUCCGGAUUUAUUGGGUUUAAAGGGAGCGUAGAUGGGUUGUUAAGUCAGUUGUGAAAGUUUGCGGCUCAACCGUAAAAUUGCAAUUGAUACUGGCAGUCUUGAGUACAGUUGAGGUAGGCGGAAUUCGUGGUGUAGCGGUGAAAUGCUUAGAUAUCACGAAGAACUCCGAUUGCGAAGGCAGCUUACUAAACUGCCACUGACAUUGAUGCUCGAAAGUGUGGGUAUCAAACAGGAUUAGAUACCCGAGUAGUC
rnacentral:rRNA from 1 species